rnacentral:rRNA from 1 species
UCUUCUAUUAUUCCAUGCACGAACAUACAAGCGAAACGCCUGUUUGGAGCACUCUGAUUUGUUCAAAGUAAACUCGUCAGCCCCCGCCGACGCAAUCACUUAAGACUACGCCGAGUGAGCCGACUAUGAAGUCGAGCCGAGCAGUGCAACCCCGGAGGGAAGACCGCCGACCCGACACAGAUCCAACUACGAGCUUUUUAACCGCAGCAAUGUAUCUAUGCAUUUCGAGAGCUGGAAUUACCGCGGCUGCUGGCACCAGACUUGCCCUCUCGUUGAUACUCGUUAAAGGGUUUAGAUUGUACCCAUUCCAUUCACUGACGCCUGAAAGGCGACAACGAUGUUAUUUUUCGUCACUACCUCCUCGCACCGAGAGUGGGUAAUUUGCGCGCCUGCUGCCAUCCUUAGACGUAGUGGCCA